rnacentral:misc_RNA from 1 species
CAGGAAGCGGCUGCUUAUGGACCCCGACGUGAUCGAAAUCCCACAUCCGGUUUCUCACACUAACGGCCAGCCUAAACUCAAACAGGUUAUACUUCAUGAAGUUAUCGAUGUUGACAACGAUGAAGAAUACCCUGAUNAAGUUGACUCAAAAAAUAAAGGGAUAGCUAUAGAAGAUAAUUCUGAAGGUUACAAUCAAGCUAAGGACACUUUGGCCAAUUAUCUUAUCUGUCCUUCUAAAAGCUCUGCCCCAG